rnacentral:rRNA from 1 species
CGUGCAAAGGUAGCAUAAUCAUUAGUUCUUUAAUUGGGAACUUGUAUGAAUGGUUAGACAAAGGAAAAACUGUCUNUGUUUAGAAAAUUGAAUUUAACUUUUAAGUGAAAAGGCUUAAAUUUUUUAAGAGGACGAUAAGACCCUAUAAAGCUUUAUAUACGGUAAAUUCUCGUUGAACGAAAUAACAACAAGAUUUUUAGCGUUCAUUUUGUUGGGGCGACAUGAAUAAAAAUAAAAUAUCUGUUCAUAAAAGGAACCAUUUAUAAAUGAAAAUUAAUUGAUCCCUUGUUAGGAUAAAAGACCAAGUUACUUUAGGGAUAACAGCGUUAUUUUUUCUGAGAGUUCAUAUCGAANAAAAAGAUUGCGACCUCNAUGUUGAAUUAAAGAAUCUUGUUAGUGUAGCCGCUACAGAAGAGGGUCUGUUC